rnacentral:rRNA from 1 species
AACGUAGGAGACAAACGUUAUCCGGAGUUACUGGGCGUAAAGGGCGUGUAGGCGGUUAGUUAAGUCUGGCGUGAAAGCUCUCGGCUAAACCGGGAGAGGUCGUCGGAUACUGGCAAACUAGAGGACGGUAGAGGCGUGUGGAAUUCCGGGUGUAGUGGUGAAAUGCGUAGAGAUCCGGAGGAACACCAGUGGCGAAGGCGACACGCUGGGCCGUACCUGACGCUAAAGCGCGACAGCAUGGGGAGCAAACGGG